UCACAGACUGGAGGGUGACAGUGACCAGAGCAAGUUUAACCUUUUAAAGAGGAAGGAUCUGUUGCUUGGCUACCAGGCCUGCGUAGGGUAAUGAGUGGAAAUGGGGAACAGAAGUGGAGAAAGAAGAGAGACCUAGAAGCGGGGUGGUGGGGAAAGGGCAGGAACCCCUCGUGGGCUGGAGCCUGCAGAGGGAGGGAGAAUGUGAGCAGCUUCCAGAAGGUGUGGGGCUUUGAGGAAAGGGGACGGAGAGCAUCUGAAGGAAGCUUGGGUGUGAUCGGGCCACGGUCUCCAGAAGACUCAGGAAGGCUACUCAGAGAAGGGUCCCCCCAAGGGAUGUGGGACGGUUGGCCUAACCCUGUGGCAGACGGCUCUGCUUCUCUUCAUGGUAAGGGAGGGAAGUUACAGGGGUAUGCCUCCUGGCUCCCCAGCAUCCACACACUGCUAAGACCCAGCCACCCCAAAGACACCACCCCUCUCUCGGGGACGGGGACUCCCAGAAGCCUCCCCAAGGUUCCAUCUUUAGGUGCCAGGAAUGGGGCUGGGUUCCCCGCAACCCCCAGAAAGGUAGGGAAAGAAGCCAAGUGACCCUGUAAACACCUCCCCAAGGAAGGAGGCUGUGACCUCGGCAGACGAAGCAGCCCCCUGGAAAGAGAAGAGCCCCUUGCUGUUCUGGAGAGGCCCCAGUGACUGUGGCCCUGAGAGCCAAGAGUUCAGCAGCUCUGUCCCUCCUCAUGCUGUGGCUGAGGGCAGAGCCAAGCCCAAGACCCUGCCCGGCCCUCUCCCUCUAGCUUAGCGGCGGGUGCCUAUGGAUAGCUUCUGAAACACACCGCCUGCUUUCUCAUGCAGGAUAAAGGCCUCCCUCCAGAACCUGCCCAGCUUUUCCACUGCAUUAGUAAUCAGCGCACAGAACAAGCGCCUUCUCUCCCUCUCCUCCCCCGCCUCUGUCUCUCUCUCUUUUUUUCUCUCCCCCAGCCCCCACUUCCUUUACCUACUCCUGCCUCCUCCCCACCUAUCAGAG
rnacentral:lncRNA from 1 species